rnacentral:rRNA from 1 species
UACGGGAGGCAGCAGUGGGGAAUAUUGCACAAUGGGCGAAAGCCUGAUGCAGCUAUGCCGCGUGUAUGAAGAAGGCCUUAGGGUUGUAAAGUACUUUCAUCGGGGAGGAAAAAACAAAACUAAUAAUUUUAUUUCUUGACGUUACCCGAAAAAGAAGCACCGGCUAACUCCGUGCCAGCAGCCGCGGUAAUACGGAGGGUGCUAGCGUUAAUCAGAAUUACUGGGCGUAAAGAGCACGUAGGUGGUUUUUUUAAGUCAGAUGUGAAAUCCCUGGGCUUAACCUGGAACUGCAUUUUGAAACUGAAAUACUAGAGUAUCGUAGAGGGAGGUAGAAUUCUAGGUGUAGCGGUGAAAUGCGUAGAUAUCUGGAGGAAUACCUGUGGCGAAAGCGGCCUCCUAAACGAAUACUGACACUGAGGUGCGAAAGCGUUGGGGAGCAAACAGGGAUUUAGAUACC